rnacentral:rRNA from 1 species
UGGGGAAUAUUGGACAAUGGGGGGAACCCUGAUCCAGCCAUGCCGCGUGUGUGAAGAAGGCCUUAUGGUUGUAAAGCACUUUAAGCGAGGAGGAGGGUACUGGUAUUAAUACUACCAGGUACUGGACGUUACUCGCAGAAUAAGCACCGGCUAACUCUGUGCCAGCAGCCGCGGUAAUACAGAGGGUGCGAGCGUUAAUCGGAUUUACUGGGCGUAAAGCGUGCGUAGGCGGCUAAUUGAGUCGGAUGUGAAAUCCCCGAGCUUAACUUGGGAAUUGCAUUCGAUACUGGUCAGCUAGAGUAUGGGAGAGGAUGGUAGAAUUCCAGGUGUAGCGGUGAAAUGCGUAGAGAUCUGGAGAAAUACCGAUGGCGAAGGCAGCCAUCUGGCCUAAUACUGACGCUGAGGUACGAAAGCAUAGGGAGCAAACAGG